rnacentral:rRNA from 1 species
UAAGGAAUUUUCGGCAAUGGGGGAAACCCUGACCGAGCAACGCCGCGUGAGUGAUGAAGGCCCUACGGGUUGUAAAGCUCUGUUGUUAAGGAAGAAUACUAUGAUAAGGAAAUGUUUCAUAGCUGACGGUACUUUUCAAGAAAGUCACGGCUUACUACGUGCCAGCAGCCGCGGUAAUACGUAGGUGGCAAGCGUUAUCCGGAUUUAUUGGGCGUAAAGGGUGCGCAGGCGGUCUGUUAAGUUUAGGGUGAAAGCGUUGGGCUCAACCCAAUACAGCCUUAAAAACUGGCAGACUAGAGUGCAGAAGAGGGUAGUGGAAUUCCAUGUGUAGCGGUAAAAUGCGUAGAUAUAUGGAGGAACACCAGUGGCGAAGGCGGCUACCUGGUCUGUAACUGACGCUCAGGCACGAAAGCGUGGGGAGCAAAUAGG